AAAGGCCUUUCCCCAUCUGUUCAAAGGCUGUAACAGGGAGAUGGAGUGGGCCUGUGCUGGGAGCAAAAGCUUGAGCCAGGACACACAAAACUGAGGAAAAAUCUGUCUGAGUGGUAGUGAAAGCAAGCUGGUUGGUGCUUGUGGAGAGAGCAGGGAGGCAUGGUAUGAAAGUAAGGGGCAGCAUCCUUUUCUGACAGGACUUUUUGGUGGCUGUAUCUACAUCUCAGAGGAAGCAGCCAGUUACUGUUGGUUCUUGGCUCAUUUGCACAGUCUAGGGAGGAAUGGAUCAGCACCUCUUCCAGCCCUCUUCUUCUCCAGGGUCCUUUUAAAACCUGUGCAGUUGUUGUCCUGCCCAGUGAAACCCAGUAAGUUCUUUGAAGGGCUGACAACCUAAGGAGGGAGGGAACAGCUCAGCCUUCCUAUUCAUCAAGCUGAUUCAUUAAUGAUCAGUGCCAUUAGGUGGACUACAGUAGUGCCUGAGGGCCCCAGUUAAAGGAAAAGUGAGCUUGCUAAAUGCAGAAAGCCAAAUUCUCCCUCAGAUACUCCUGCCUGAUGCAGAGGUGGUGCCUCCUGAGUGGGCAGCAGGCUUUCUAUGUGAGCAGCCUCUGUGUCUUCCCCCUCCAUCCUCCACCUUUUCCCUCUCCCCUGCCUUAGUUGCAGAUCCUGCUUACAGGGUGCUGCAGAGCAAGGCUGUUGCAGGAGUUGGCUGGCAGGACCUGCAGGAGGAGGUGUCAAAUCAGCUUAUUCUUCUGAGCCACUUCAUUCUUCAUCAAGAGUGGGUUUGGGUGGGCUUUUUUUGGUUUAGGUUUUGGUUUUUUUUGGGCAGGGUUGAGAGCAGGCAAAGUGGUGGGGAUUGCAGAGGAGUCUGUUAUGAAAUCAGAUGCGAUUUUAGAUGUCUGAAAGAGUUCCUUUAGGCUAAAGGCAGCUGAAAAUCAAUUGCACUGUUGGCAAAUGCACUUCCAGCUGGCUGGUGCCUCUCCUGAGGGACACUUUCAACCCAGGGCCCAUUGCAAUUGUAGUACAGGAAGGGGCUUUCAUUUGCUUUGGGCUAAGGACCUUCUGCUGCCCAGUUCCACCAGUGAGAAGAGAAACUGGAGAUGAUGUGGGAGAAUGACAACAGCAUUAUUACUGCUGAUAUGAAGAAAAGAUGGAAACAGCCUCCUGAAGGUCAAGGUGAGACUGACCAACACCUGAGUGCUGGUGUUCACCAGCAGUAAUAAAUCCCUGCUCACAGGUGCUGGAAGUCUCUUCAGAGAAACAACAUUACUGCAGGGAACAAACAACUAGUCCUGACCUUCUUUACACAGCCAUUCUCUGGGAAAAAGUAUCCCCUGAAGUCAAUGUGCAUUCUGCCUAGCUUUCAUCAGAAGAAAAACACUUGGAUUGAAAGGACAACAACAAAUAAUAGGUGCUGGUGAUUUGCCCUCUCUCCACCUAAAUCAGAUAUCUGGCACAUCAAUGCUUAGAAGGCUUAGGAGAAGAAGAAAACAUCAAUAUUUCACUGAACACAAAAAGUUGCACAACUCCCCAGACUUCAUUUUAACGUCAGCUGUGCUUAGUUCGUUGUUUUUCUUUCUUUUUUUCUGUACGAUGAGCGAUUCCACUUCCUUUUGAAUCCCACCUGUGCAAGUAGCUUGUUUUUCUCCCUGGCAGGUGUUAGCAAGGGUUUUGUUCAGGCUCGGUAGCCAGGCAGUCCUGGGGUGGCUGACUUCUAGGAAGAGCCCCAGCAGGAGCAAACGAGAGCAGCUUUUGCUGGUGCUCAGCUCGUGUUCCAGCUCACACUCGUGCUAAACGCAUCGCCCUCAGCAAAUGCACCGCACACAACGCCAGGACGGACCCGGGCGGGCUGGAUGCUUCACCAUGGAGCUGCCCUGAGAAACUCUGGCCCGUUUAGAGGCAGCUUCACCCUCCUGAGCAGAGCUGUGCCAGCUCACGGCAGUUUAGGACUCGCUCUGCUCACUUUAGCCCGCGCAAUUCCAUCCUUUGUGUGAACCACAUCAUGCAAACGGGGGCACCGGAGUCACGGGGAAGUCGAGUUCCACACGAGUGCUGGCAUGAGCAGGAGCAGCAAUUAGCUCUAAAUUCACUCUACCAGCCUGUCAUUUCUGAGCUCUCCCCUGCUGCUCUGCAACUGGAAGCCUUGCGCUCCAGAAGAAGGGGAGAAGAACAUUUUGCUCAUGCUCAUAUUAAUCAAGUCAUCUUGUGAGCUGCUGAAUCUGUGAAAUUGUAUCUCCCAUGGAGUUCAGUGGUAAUGACUGUCUUCGAUGUGGACUCUCUGGUGUCUAAUAAUAAUACAGUUAUAUUUCUGCAGUGGAUGCACUCCCGGCAUUUUUUUCUCCUCUGCCUGCCUACUUCCACAGCACUUGUAGGCAGCUCAAACCUCUGAGACUUCUAUCCCCUGUCAAGUUUGAUCAAACUCAGUUCACAGGCUCAAAAAUUAUUUAGGAGGGGCUGACUGGCACUUGCACAGACAGUGUGAUCUCAUAAGCCUCCUUUCCUUAGGAAACUAGGCUACCAACCUAGCAACGGGGUGAAAAAAAGCCAUCCUGCUAGCAAAGAGGACCUAAACACCAGGAGGAAAGAGGGGAGGUGGGAGAGGAAAGUGAAGCUGUUUUGAAAGGAAAAAAAUCGCUGUCUUGUGGCUGCAGAGCUCUCACACACUUAAAAGGCCAGCCUUGGAGAGACGUGAUGGAGAGAAUAUUCUCCAGGAGAUGGAAAGUUCUCUCAUGAAAACUGGUAAGGGAGAGAAAUGACCUGGAUUCAUCUCACCACCUGGCAUGCUAAAUGGAUAUCUUCAUGGCAAGGAUUGUCUCCGGUGACACCCUUUUCUCCCUGUGGACUAGAGGAAGACACAGACACAAUUAGCAUGCAAACUGAAUGCCUGCAGUAUCUAAAGCGAGGUGUGUCCUAUCCCAAAGGGAAUGAUCUUCUUCCCCCUCUCUCCUUCAGACCAAAGUUUUCCAUGGUGCUGCUGCAGGGUUUAUUACUUCAUGUACUACAUUUGUAUUUUAGAAAAGCUGCUGUGUGUCUUAAUAGCUGCAGAUGUAUGCAUGGUUUUACUGGGCAUUUAUUAUCACUUA